CCCAGACUCCUACGGGAGGCAGCAGUAGGGAAUUUUCGUCAAUGGGCGCAAGCCUGAACGAGCGAUGCCGCGUGAGUGAAGAAGGCCUUCGGGUCGUAAAGCUCUGUUGCGGGGGAAAAAAGGCAGCAUCAGGAAAUGGGUGCUGACUGAUGGUGCCCCGCCAGAAAGUCACGGCUAACUACGUGCCAGCAGCCGCGGUAAUACGUAGGAUGCGAGCGUUAUCCGGAUUUAUUGGGUUUAAAGGGUGCGUAGGCGGUUUUUUAAGUUAGUGGUUAAACGUCGGGGCUUCACCUUGAUUUGCCAUUAAUACUGUAAGACUCGAGUUCAGACGAGGUAGGCGGAAUAAGUUAAGUAGCGGUGAAAUGCUUAGAUAUAACUUAGAACUCCGAUAGCGAAGGCAGCUUACCAGACUGCGACUGACGCUGAAGCACGAGGGCGUGGGUAGCGAGCAGGAUUAGAUACCCCGGUAAC
rnacentral:rRNA from 1 species